AAGAAAAGGAAAAGGAAAAGAAAAACAUUCAAUCAGCAUUGUGCUAUUGAGGAAGAGGAUCAUCGAGAGAUGAGUGAGGAUUGCAGGUGAAUAACCAAUGUCCAAAACACACUGAUUAAUUAUUCAUGGGUCAAUCCUCGGUUUGGAGUUAAAAUUAAGCGGUGGCUGAGUUUGGCAAAGUUGUUUAUCUAACACAAUCAAUGAUGGACUUAAAGGGUUGGUAAGGGUUAGUGCCUCACUAAGAUUUUAAUUUUUA
rnacentral:misc_RNA from 1 species